rnacentral:rRNA from 1 species
UACGUAGGGCGCAAGCGUUGUCCGGAAUUAUUGGGCGUAAAGAGCUCGUAGGUGGCUUGUCACGUCGGGUGUGAAAGCUUGGGGCUUAACUCCAGGUCUGCAUUCGAUACGGGCUGGCUAGAGGUAGGUAGGGGAGAACGGAAUUCCUGGUGUAGCGGUGAAAUGCGCAGAUAUCAGGAGGAACACCGGUGGCGAAGGCGGUUCUCUGGGCCUUACCUGACGCUGAGGAGCGAAAGCGUGGGGAGCGAACCGG